rnacentral:pre_miRNA from 1 species
GUGAUUUCUGGUGUGGCAUCAUCAAGAUUCACACAAUGUAUGGCAUGCAUGCGAUGCUCUCAUCCUUUCCCCAUCCAUGCAUGCAUGUGAACUGGAGUUCCGUUCAUGCAUGGGAGGUGGAUGGAUUGAUGAGCUUUGCUAGCUAGCCAGCGUUAUGUGUGGGAAUCUUGAUGAUGCUGCAUCGGUGAUCAA